AAAGUUUUUUUGGUUUGAAGACCCGCUAUCUAAAUACAAAAUACCGUUUCUAUUUUUUUGGGUAUUUUUAGGGCCUGAAACUUUUUAUCAAAACUGACCCGAAUCCAACUGGACCCGACCCGAACCAGAACCGAAUAUUUAGAAUUAUUCUAUUGGGUAGUAAAUCAUAUACCCAUUAAUCCCAAACCCGAAUGGUUCUACCCGAACUCGAAUAGAUUACUCAUAUGCCCAGCCCUAUUCUCUGAUUUAAUUAUCUAAAAACUCCCAAAAAAACAUAUGUUUUGCUGACUACUUUUUAUUCGAAAAAUUUUACAUCCUCUUCUGCCAAAAUCAUUUCAUAAGACAUCCCAAAACCCUUGGAAUAAUGAUUCCAUGAAUGAAAAAUCCUAAUUUGAAUAUACCAAAAAGUUUUGAAAGGUUUUAAGUUUUUGAUAGGUGUGUAUGUGGGAAGGUAUAGACAUCGUGAUGAUAAUCUGCUUAUUUAUAAUUUUAACCUGCAGUAUAUCGCAGAUAGGCUUAUAUUUUAGUUAAACUAAAAACUUUUAUUGUAAAGAUGAUUAUAAAUAUAUGAUAUUAUUUUAUUUGAUUUUAAAUGUAUAGUAAACUGCGAGUUGUAUAUAUUUUGUUGAUAUUAUUUACAUUGUUUAGUGUUUAAAAUUAUACACUUGUAUUUU
rnacentral:sRNA from 1 species